AUGCAUUAUGAGGAGAAAUCCAUCCAGAGACUGAUUCUGUUUCCUUUAACAGCCAAAGUGGCUUUCGAAGAUCAAUACGCCCUUUGCACUGCUGCCAAAAGCAAAGAGCCAGUGUGCCAAAUUAUAAACUGUAGGAGGGAUAGCUACAGGAGAGCCUGCCCAGGCAGGGUCCCGUGCCUGGCAGUCCGGCUGCUAGGAACCCGCUGCUUUUGGAGCCAUCAAUCUUCACCUUGUCACCACUGUGGUGACCUGGCCUCCUGGGCAGCAAGCACAGAUGGUUGCAGGACACAUUUGGAACUUAGAACUGUGGCCGCCUACUCUGCUGGGUCCUUCUCAUCUUACCAGGCUGGGGAGGUGGCUUUGCAGUGGGGUUUUGGCAUGGUGGAUGCAUGGGCCAGACUGGGGAGAAGAGGAGCUACGUUUUCCCCCAUGAGGAAGGUUGGAGGUACUUCGAAUCCUACCGGGAUUCCCUUUCAAGGAAUACCUUGGACUCAACUGUCUUUUUCCUGAUGGAUCAUGUUUUGGAUCAUCCCUUUCCAAGGAUAUAAUCAUGGCCUGUUAACAUUUUUUUGGACUUUGAUUUGGCUGGCAAAGACUCUGUUUUUGGAAACCUGUUUUCGCUUAAUUUCAUUUCCUCUUCCCUGUUAAGCACAUCAUUGGACCAGAAGAACAGAAUCUCUGAUUUUUGAAAGUCUGUGUUCAGUGCUGCUGCUCCAUUCAUUUUGGGGAGAAAACUGAAACACACUGCUGACUUNNNNGGUUCUCUCCACGGGUAAGCCAGAACCCACACCCCGACCUGCCUGAGGUAGUUAACAUAAGCAUGGAAACAAUAGUCAUUUAAUACUAUCAUAACAUUACAUAAGUCAUUUCCUUCCCUUCUAGAAUGUGAAGGGAUAUAUGAGAAGCAAAGAAAAACUCAUAUUUUCCACAGGCCUCCAAUUACCCUUUCAUCUGUCCCAAAAUAUGGAGGGUGAUGUUAAAACCUUGUGUGAGAAUCUGGCAGGGUUUUGUAUGUGUGUGUUGCCUCUGGUCUGGUUUCUAAAACCAAUCUAGAGAUCUGGAAGAUUUGCCAGAAAGGGCCGAUUGUUCC
rnacentral:lncRNA from 1 species